GGCCUGUUAGCUCAGUUGUUUAGAGUGUGGUGCUAAAAAUGCCAAGGUCACAGGUUAGAUCCCCGUAUGGGCCA